rnacentral:misc_RNA from 1 species
UCGGUUCUUCUAAAGUGUCGGUUUUUGUUGUCCGCCUGAGCGCGGUUCGGGGAAUACCUGAUAUCCUGCGGCUCGAUCACGCCGGUGAGGCUCCCAUGGGCCACAGAGUGGGCUUUCUUAGAGUCCUUCUGUGGCGAAAGUGGGCCGUCUUCGAAAUGUGGUUGCACCAAUGCCAUUAGUCUCAGAAUGUGAACAGCAGGCAGCAAUGCCAAUGCAAUCAAUUA